rnacentral:rRNA from 1 species
GACGAACGCUAGCGGCGUGCCUAAGAAAUGCAAGUCGAGCGAAGUUAGAGAGCUUGCUCUCGAAGCUUAGCGGCGAACGGUCGCGUAACACGUAAGGAACCUGCCCCGAAGUGUGGGAUAGCCCCGGGAAACUGGGAGUAAUACCUCAUGUGGUCCAUCAUUGGCAUCUUUGGUGGUCUAAAGCAGCGAUGCGCUUCGGGAUGGUCUUGCGGCCUAUCAGCUAGUUGGUGUGGUAAUGGCUCACCAAGGCGACGAUGGGUAGCUGGUCUGAGAGGAUGAUCAGCCACACUGGAACUGCGACACGGUCCAGACUCCUACGGGUGGCUG